UAAGUGUAGGUUUGUGAAGAGUUAUACAUAUUAGGAUCAGAUUCGAGGUGGGUUUUACCAUUAAUAUACCUCCUUCGAAUCUGCUAAGGGUUGAGUAAAACCCACCCUCAUAGAAUUGAGCCGGUCAAGUAGUUGAUGGAAUGGAGUAAAUUGACACUUCUAUGCACAACUUCUUGUGUGAAUCGAAGUUGUCAAAUAUAAUUAGUCUUGAAGAGAAGUUUCCACGGGUCUAUAAAAACCGAUGAUAAUUCUAGUUAUAGUAACACGAAGCUUGUUCUAAUGAACAUGCACAUUUGCUAAAAAAACUAGUAGUUUUAAAGUUUUAGGCCGAGCCUUUAACAAUGCAUCUCCAAGAAGUUAGUCCUAGAUAAUUAUAGUGAUCGAUUGGUCUUCCUCUCUUUCUCACAAAAAGAAUUCCAAUCACGAGAACUUAGAUUGUAAAAUUUAAUAAAAAAAUGAUUUUUUUCUUAUCUAAAAAAAUAAAGAUCGCAAAUUCAAUAGCUUCUUCACUCCAAUUUUUUUUAUGAUUAUAAUCUAUUUUCUCAAAAAUGUUUACUGAGCUUGCAAGUAGCAUUCAUGAAUUAGAAAUGUUUGAACAAGUUAAACAAUAAGAAUUGGAUUUUAAGGAGACAGUGAUAUUGUUGUAGUUA
rnacentral:lncRNA from 1 species